ACUCCGUCGGUUAUCGACUCCGACUCCGACUCGUAUCGACUUCUCCUCUGUUCCUAUUGGCUUCUUCUUCUUCUUCUCCAACGAAUUACUUGAUUAGGGACCCUUGGACUCAUGGAGAGUGAGCAAUAUAAUUAAGUUGUAGUGACAUGCUAUAGUAGAGACAUUGCUACACAGGUGGUGCAGUUCGCAAGAAAGUGCGUGGUGAGACUCGAUGUCUUGAGCUAUCCAAGAGGAAGUGCGGUGGUGUCCAAUUUGAUAUUGACAUUCCAAAGCAUACCAUGAGAGCUGUAGGAACAAACUGCCAAUUUUACAUUACUGGUAUGGGAUGCUUCGUUUGAAAAAAUGUUCCAUUACAAAUUAAGAAGUGGUCUGACAUCUCAAGAGAUGAUGUUGCUUUGCUGAUUCGCCAUGUCCGUGAGAAAUUCAAUUUGAGCCAUGAAUCUCAUGUGGAUGAGGCAAUUGAGAAACACAUGAUCAGAUAUUUUACCACAUGGCGCUAUAAUUUGCAUAAGAAAUUUCAGAAAUAUGAAUCAGUAGAGGAAGCAAUGGAGAAUCGACCUGAAGAUGUUGAAGAGGGUGAUUGGAACUACUUAAUUGCAAAUCUGUGGCAAGAUCAAAAGUGGCUGAAAACAAGUGAAAAAAACAAGAAAAACAGGGACAAGUUAGAGAUAACACAUUGUGCAGGGACAAAGGCAUUUAGUCGUCUUAGGACUGAAAAUGUAAGCUUCAAUUUCUGUUUUUUGUCAAAGCAUAAUUACUUAUGAAAGUUGUAUAUGACAUAGAUGUUUUUGAUUGUGGUUAAACUACAAUAGUGAAAUCCUGAAACUGGAGAGGAGUUAGAGACAGUCAAAGCUAGUGGAGCUCAACAAAAUGAAGAGUUAGAGGCAGUGAAGGUUAGAGCCGCUCAACAAAAUGAAGAGUUGGAGUCACUAAAGGCAAGACAAAAUCAGACUGACACACUUUUACUCAAAUUGAUGGCGUAAUUGUCCUCCCAAAAAAUGAAGGUGCAGCAUUGUAAAAAUUGGCAGAUGAAAAGGGCAUCAAGCAACAUACAUAUCAUUGAAGGAUUAUUGAACUUCUAGAAAGACUUGUAUGUAUUUCCUUUUAUUUUGAAAUGGCUAUCAAGGAUGGAUAUUGACAUUUGGAUUUAGAAA